CGGUGUAGCUCAGUGGUAGAGCAACUGAUUCGUAAUCAGUAGGUCGUCGGUUCAAGUCCGAUCACCG
rnacentral:tRNA from 1 species